CCUACGGGAGGCAGCAGUGAGGAAUAUUGGUCAAUGGACGAGAGUCUGAACCAGCCAAGUAGCGUGAAGGAUGACUGCCCUAUGGGUUGUAAACUUCUUUUAUAUGGGACUAAAAUGUUCCACGUGUGGGAUUUUGUAUGUACCAUAUGAAUAAGGAUCGGCUAACUCCGUGCCAGCAGCCGCGGUAAUACGGAGGAUCCGAGCGUUAUCCGGAUUGAUUGGGUUUAAAGGGAGCGUAGGUGGAUUGUUAAGUCAGUUGUGAAAGUUUGCGGCUAAACCGUAAAAUUGCAGUUGAAACUGGCAGUCUUGAGUACAGUAGAGGUGGGCGGAAUUCGUGGUGUAGCGGUGAAAUGCUUAGAUAUCACGAAGAACUCCGAUUGCGAAGGCAGCUCACUGGACUGCAACUGACACUGAGGCUCGAAAGUGUGGGUAUCAAACAGGAUUAGAUACCCGAGUAGUC
rnacentral:rRNA from 1 species